GGCAAAGUUGAUGAACUAAUCAAGGACAAAAUAGAGGCAGCAAAUGAAAUGAAGGCUAAAGAAAGUGAAGAGAAGGAUGUGAUUAAGCAACAGGUAUCGUUUAAUCUCCUGCUUAUUUUGCAAAUAAAUGGCUCUCCAUCUUAUUAGUACUGAAUGGAAAUGGAUUUUAAUAUUUAUAGUUUUAUACUUUAUCUUCUGAGCUUGAAAUGGGAUAAUAUUAUGAAACAUAAAAAUAUACAUGUAUCUGAGAACUUUGAAAAAGGGUGAGAAAUUGUGAGUUUUGGCCCACUGCUUUCUGCUAUGUAUCAGAGUUUAGGACUUGCAAUGCACCAUCAAUUAAAUAUAAUAGGUAUCACCAUUUAAUUGUUUUAAUUUUUUUUGCUGAUAUUUUGUCAAUUAUUCUCCAUUUCAGAAAGUCAGUUUAUUAUUAAUAUAUAAUAAUUUGCUGAAUAUGUUAUGAACCUUUCCUUUUUGCAGAAUAUGUAUGCACAGUUGUUGCCUCUUGCUUUACCUGCACCGCCGGGUAUGGGAGGAGCUGGAAUGUCAGGUUAUGGCCAGCCACCACCACCAGGUAUGGGUGGAAUGGGGAUGCCUCCAAUGCCCCCAUACGGCAUGCCACCAAUGGGAUAUUGAUUACUGUAGUCGGAAUUUGCAAGUGAUUAGACAUUGCACAGAGUACAAGGAAACUCUAGCAUUUAUAAUCCCCAGUGUUCGGUGCGGCACCUAAUGUUCAUUUAUUUUCCUUCUCUCUCGUGAUAGUGUUUUCAUUGGUCAAGGCAUAUAGGUCUCUGGUAAUAACAUCGUUUUACUUAUGGCUGUCAAUAGUUUGGAUAUAGAUGUCUCUUUGUAAUAUUCUUUCCUAGUUGAGCCG
rnacentral:lncRNA from 1 species